GUUGAUAAUGAAAUGACAUGACUUUUACAUUCAUUCAAUGCUCAAUCUAGCACUACUAUAUUCCUUUAUGCUAAAAUAAUGCUUUGCCAAUCACUCAUUAACUGUGAUAGUAGAAUUAUUUUGAUGUGAAUUAUUAUUUUGAUGCUACUGUGAAAUACCACAAUAGCACUGUUAUAUGCUGGCAUAUCAGUAACCAAACAAUAGAGCAAUGUUUGAUCAAUCCGAAUUGUUAAUCAGGUCUGUAUUUGGUUGAAUCUUAGGGAUAUUGGUAAAAAUUUGGUACGUUCUAUUGGAAACAGGACAUUCUUGGCUUUCCCAGAACUAAAAGCUUUUCUUCGUGACAAUUUGAUCACAUUCCUUCACGAUGAUGCUUUCCAAAACAAUACRSAACUAUCCUCUCUUUAUCUACAUGGUAAUAAAAUCAAAAACAUCCCUGAUGGUAUUUUCCGUAACCAGAGGCAGCUGCGAGUUCUGUAUCUUCAUAACAACAAGCUAGAAAAGUUCAGCAAAUCAUCGUUCCGAGGACUCUCCAUGCUUGAGAAAUUAACGCUCAACAACAAUACUAUCAAAGAGACAGAGAUAUCAAGGGACGCCUUUUCAGAACUGAAAAACCUUAAAUACCUGAAGCUUGACAGUUUUAUUCUCUGCUGCUAUGCCAAAAAGAGUAUCCCAGCACUGACAUGUGAAUCAUCGGAA